rnacentral:rRNA from 1 species
GUGGGGAAUUUUGGACAAUGGGCGAAAGCCUGAUCCAGCCAUGCCGCGUGCAGGAUGAAGGCCUUCGGGUUGUAAACUGCUUUUGUACGGAACGAAAAGACUCUGGUUAAUACCUGGGGUCCAUGACGGUACCGUAAGAAUAAGCACCGGCUAACUACGUGCCAGCAGCCGCGGUAAUACGUAGGGUGCAAGCGUUAAUCGGAAUUACUGGGCGUAAAGCGUGCGCAGGCGGUUAUAUAAGACAGAUGUGAAAUGCCCGGGCUCAACCUGGGAACUGCAUUUGUGACUGUAUAGCUAGAGUACGGCAGAGGGGGAUGGAAUUCCGCGUGUAGCAGUGAAAUGCGUAGAUAUGCGGAGGAACACCGAUGGCGAAGGCAAUCCCCUGGGCCUGUACUGACGCUCAUGCACGAAAGCGUGGGGAGCAAACAGGAUUAGAUACCCUAGUAGUCC